rnacentral:piRNA from 1 species
UNUCUAGAGCCCUUGGUAGACUUUGUAUA